GAGUUUGAUCAUGGCUCAGGACGAACGCUGGCGGCAUGCCUAAUACAUGCAAGUCGAACGAGGUUUCCUUAAUGGUGGUUGGUGCUUGCAUCAACUUGACUUAAGAUCUAACCGAGUGGCGAACUGGUGAGUAACACGUGGGGAACCUGCCCUUAAGUAGGGGAUAACAUUUGGAAACAAAUGCUAAUACCGUAUAACAACAUAGACCACAUGGUUUAUGCUUGAAAGAUGGCUCUGCUAUCGCUUUUGGAUGGACCCGCGGCGUAUUAGCUAGUUGGUGAGAUAAUGGCUCACCAAGGCGAUGAUACGUAGCCGGCCUGAGAGGGCGGACGGCCACACUGGGACUGAGACACGGCCCAGACUCCUGCGGGAGGCAGCAGUGGGGAAUAUUGCACAAUGGGGGAAACCCUGAUGCAGCGACGCCGCGUGAAGGAAGAAGUAUCUCGGUAUGUAAACUUCUAUCAGCAGGGAAGAAACAGACGGUACCUGACUAAGAAGCC
rnacentral:rRNA from 1 species